rnacentral:rRNA from 1 species
CGGACCGGCGCACGGGUGCGUAACGCGUAUGCAACCUACCAUCAACAGGGGGAUAACACUGAGAAAUUGGUACUAAUACCCCAUAAUAUCUCAUGCGGCAUCGCAUGGGGUUGAAAACUCCGGUGGUUGAUGAUGGGCAUGCGUUGUAUUAGCUGGUUGGUAAGGUAACGGCUUACCAAGGCGACGAUACAUAGGGGGACUGAGAGGUUAACCCCCCCACAUUGGUACUGAGACACGGACCAAACUCCUACGGAAGGCAGCAG